CUUAAUUUCCGCUCCUGAAAGCGUUGCUAAUGAACCACUCUCCCCGGGAUCCGUCGCCCCUCCCCGGCUGCUCGGUGUUAAUGAUCCGGCCCAGGUGACUCUGUUCAGCCCGUGGGUACAAUAGCCCUUCCCGGCUGCUGGUGGCCUCUGAGACUCCGCUCCAUCAAAACCAAAUUUUGUGUCAUUUCCUCCCCCGUCUUUCCAGCUCUGAAAUCACGUCCCCCACUGCUUUUCCUCUUGGCCACUGCGCCUGCCUUCUGCCUGCUGUCCACAGCACAAACACUAAGCGAAAGGGUCGGGAACUGGGGCUGAUGGCCCACGACCUCAGCACACCCCGGCAUAGUCCACAUGAGAACUCAGCUCUCCCGAACUUGGCCUCUGGGGCCACAAGCUUAUCAGCCUUCAGGGGCCAAUUAGGCAAGGGAAGGAUGUGGGUAGCUCAGUGUGGGACAGUGGGGAGGAGUGGAGUCUGUGGCAAAGUAGAACCUGCGGGUCCUUUGGGGGGUCAUGUCCAUGACUCAGAACCACUGAGCACUGAGUCAUUGACUCGGGCAUUACAGUGUGGUGACCUUUCCAGGAUGCUGCUUACUGGUGGGAGACUUAAGAGUGCCCCUGCCCACUUCUAUCCACCAGAGGCCUUCUUUCUGCCCCUCUGCCUGGCCCCUCUUCCUCCUACCCGCUGUGAAAAGUUACCAGGCAGCCCCUCCGCUGCUCCCACGGGGCCUCCUGCCCCCCGGUGCUUAUGUCUGCGACAUCACCCUGCACCUCUGUUGAAAUCCGCAUUCUCCACCGUCUCAGCAGCUGGCCCACCUGUCAGCCAACGGCCAGGAAGCAAAAGAAGGCAGCUUGGUUUCAAGGUAUUCAGCAACAAAGGCCUCAGCAUUUGGAAUUAUUUUUAGGGGGAUAUUAGUGGUAGGUAUUUUAGGCAUGACAAGGAGGCCAGAAAGGGGGCGUUUGGGAACAGGAAGGGUAGGAGGAGCCCACACUGGGCGGCCCUCCUGUCUGCAAGGCCUCACUGUUCAGCUCUCCCAGCUCUGCUUUGCUAGGGUUCCAGCUCAGCUCGGGCUCCUGCCCCAGAGUUCUGCACCAACACUGUCCUCAGGAGGGAGGACGCAAGUGAGCCCCUCCUCCGGCCCAUCCUGUGACCUCCAGGAGGCUUCUCUUUCCCAGAGUCCUAGAUGAUCUUGCCUGCAAGCCCACACCAUAGGGUCUCAGUGCCUCCCCUGCCUGGGUCUCCAGGAGGUGGGGGUGGAGCCAUGGCUGGCUAAGCUCUGCCUGCCAUGGUGGCUGGUCCCCUCCUGCCCCACCCUGACCCUGCCUGGGAGGGUGCAUCCAGAAGGAGCUUGAGCCCUUGCCCUGGCAAGCCUUCCUCCUUGAGCUCUGGGGAGGCUGCACUGUGCUCAGGACUCCAGACGCUCCUCCUCUGGAGAAGUUGCUCCCACCCAGGGCAACUUGCCCACAAUCCCCAGUCCAGGAAGGACCCCAGCACACCUGCUUCUACCUGCAGAGGUACCACCAGAGGCCGAAACUGUCAGCUCUGUAGGGCAGAGGCUGAGCCUCAUUCCUUUCUCUGUAUCCCCCAAUGCCUGUUAUGUUGUAGAUG
rnacentral:lncRNA from 1 species